AUUGAACGCUGGCGGCAUGCUUUACACAUGCAAGUCGAACGGCAGCGCGGGCUUCGGCCUGGCGGCGAGUGGCGAACGGGUGAGUAAUGCAUCGGAACGUGCCCAGUAGUGGGGGAUAGCCCGGCGAAAGCCGGAUUAAUACCGCAUACGACCUGAGGGUGAAAGCGGGGGACCGAAAGGCCUCGCGCUAUUGGAACGGCCGAUGUCGGAUUAGCUAGUUGGUGGGGUAAAGGCUUACCAAGGCGACGAUCCGUAGCUGGUCUGAGAGGACGACCAGCCACACUGGGACUGAGACACGGCCCAGACUCCUACGGGAGGCAGCAGUGGGGAAUUUUGGACAAUGGGGGCAACCCUGAUCCAGCCAUGCCGCGUGCGGGAAGAAGGCCUUCGGGUUGUAAACCGCUUUUGUUCGGGAAGAAAUCCUCUGGGCUAAUACCCCGGGGGGAUGACGGUACCGGAAGAAUAAGCACCGGCUAACUACGUG
rnacentral:rRNA from 1 species